rnacentral:lncRNA from 1 species
UCAGGUGGUCAGGUUAGCCAGCCAAAAUCAGACCUAAUCAUUUGGUAGUUAGAUUCAUAAGUAUGAUCAUGUUAAUGGUUGGACCUAAUCAGGAGCUUGCAGAGAAGACCAAAGUCAACUGAAUAGUUAUGUGGGGCUAAAUCAACUACUAAAAAUUAUUUGAUGAAAUAAUUAGUUAAUAAACCUACCCAUGGAUGCACAUAGGUGAGCUGGCUAAAGUCGGCCU